GCUGAACAAUGUGAUGACGAUCCGGUGCUAAUAAAUGAGAUGGUUUUACCCUUCAAGCAGGUGUAUUCAUCACUCCAUCUGAUGUCCAGCAGUCUCUACAUUUGCCAGAGAACACAACUUAUAAUUCUUGACGUUAUUAGGCUCCAUGUUCUGGAUAAUGGGAAGUGGACAGAGAAAAACUCAGAAGCGGACAUGAGUGUUAUUCCUCAUUGCAGUUGGUAAACGGGGGACUACAAGACAAAAAAAAAAGUGAUGAAAGGCCAUUCCUACAGCUGGUAUCUGAACCUUCAAACUGACUACAAGGAUCCUGUCAUGCAUUAAAA